UCGGUUCACCAUGGAGUGAUUAAUAGGGAAUCAGGUGUAAAUCCUGAACAGUCCCGCUGCUGUAAGCCGUCCUUAUCGGAGCAGACACAGAGUCACUGAGAUUAUCGGGAAGACGUCUGCGACCGGACGGUAAGUCAGAAGACCUGCCGAUGACA
rnacentral:ncRNA from 1 species